rnacentral:rRNA from 1 species
AUUGAACGCUGGCGGCAUGCUUUACACAUGCAAGUCGAACGGGGUGAGGGGGCAACCUCUCAUCUAGUGGCGAACGGGUGAGUAAUGCAUCGGAACGUGUCCCGUAGUGGGGGAUAACCCGGCGAAAGCCGGACUAAUACCGCAUAUGCUCUACGGAGGAAAGUGGGGGACCAGUAAUGGCCUCACGCUAUGGGAGCGGCCGAUGUCCGAUUAGCUUGUUGGUGAGGAAUGGCUCACCAAGGCGACGAUCGGUAGCUGGUCUGAGAGGAUGAUCAGCCACACUGGGACUGAGACACGGCCCAGACUCCUACGGGAGGCAGCAGUGGGAAUUUUGGACAAUGGGGGCAACCCUGAUCCAGCCAUGCCGCGUGC